CACAGCCGCUCCCCAGCAUUCUCACCUGCUUCCACUCUGACCUCCACAUGAAUUCCCCAGCCACAGAUUGCGCGUGCGCCGGACAGCUCCUCCACGUCCCCGCCCUACUUCCAAGAUCCGCGCUUCGGAUUGGUCAUGUAGCCUCUGGAAAACUCUGCUGACACUCAGGAGAGAACGAGAGUGAAAAAGAUGACAAUGUAAUUCAAUGAUCAAUGGAUUGUCUUUUCAAAAAAUGACACAGGAGUGAGUGAAUAUCCAUAUGGAGAAAUUAAAGGACUUCACCCUAAUCCUUCUCCACACACAAAAGUUAACCUGAAGUGAACCAUGGACGCAAACAUAAAAGCUAAAUUCAUAGAACUUCUAGAAGAAAAGCAGGACAAAAUCUUCAAGACUAUGGUAAGAAUUCCUUACACAGGACACA